AUUGAACGCUGGCGGCAGGCCUAACACAUGCAAGUCGAGCGAGCGGCGGACGGGUGAGUAAUGUCUGGGAAACUGCCUGCUGGAGGGGGAUAACUACUGGAAACGGUAGCUAAUACCGCAUACCAUCAGAUGUGCCCAGAUGGGAUUCGCUAGUCGGUGGGGUAACGGCUCACCUAGGCGACUAUCCCUAGCUGGUCUGAGAGGAUGACCAGCCACACGGGAGCUGAGACACGGUCCGGACUCCUACGGGAGGCAGCAGUGGGGAAUAUUGCACAAUGGGCGCAAGCCUGAUGCAGCCAGGCGGCGUGUGUGAAGAAGGCUUUCGGGUUGUAAAGCACUUUCAUCGGGGAGGCGUUACCCGCAGAAGAAGCACCGGCUAACUCCGUGCCAGCAGCCGCGGUAAUAC
rnacentral:rRNA from 1 species